UACAGAGGGGGGCAAGCGUUGUUCGGAAUUACUGGGCGUAAAGGGCGCGUAGGCGGCCCCGCUAAGUCGAACGUGAAAAUCCCCCGGGGCUCAACCCCGGGGAACUGCGUCCCGAUACUGGUGGGGCUCGAAUCCCGGGGAGAGGGGAUGCGGAAUUCCAGGGUGUAGCGGUGAAAAUGCGCAGAUAUCAGGGAGGGAAACACCGGUGGCGAAGGCGGUUCUCUGGGCAUGACCCUGACGCUGAGGGAGCGAAAAGUGUGGGGGAGCGAAACAGG
rnacentral:rRNA from 1 species